AGUUCGUUCGGCGUCCCCAAGCGGGGUGGCCGCGUGGCGGGUUCUCGGCUACAAAACUACUAAGACCAAGUGCUCUUGCGCACGGUGCGCGAAGGAAUCCGAAAUGCGGUGCCUCUGUUUAUUUGUUGGUGCUGCCACGAAGGAUGACGGGAAUUGUAUGCGCCCGCUGUCCCACGACAGGGAACAACUUUUCACCUGUUCUCGGCGGCGGUUCCAUGCUCGGCGUCUGAAGUUUUGAAAACACCAACCCUUUCAUUACCUAGUUUGAGUUCUGGUGAUCUGCUCCUGUCAUGAAGCUACAGGGCUCCCAAACCAUUUCAUUCAAAUAAACUCAGGAUGGCAACAUGUCUACCUCCCGAAGCCUCUGUUGCUGUGCAUUUACAGCCUAGUAGAAUGCACAGUGGGCAGCUCAAAGAAAGUGCACCAAUUAAGACUAAGCGCAUUUUCUAGACUCAAGGAAGCUUCCACAUGUUCUGCGGAUCAGCGAAGAGAGUAGUUCAAAGGGGCAAGGUAGCAGAGGCACAGAAAGAAGGAUAGUCUUAUAUACAACUGUCCACUGCAUCAGAAGUGGAGCAGCCAGGAACCAAAUCUGGUGCCUAUAUGGGAUGACAGUGCUGCAGGUGGAAUUCUAACCUGCUACACCACAGC